GCUCCCAUAGUGUAGACCGGCCAAUCAUUCCGGCCUUUCGAGCCGGUGACGUGGGUUCGAAUCCCGCUGGGAGCA
rnacentral:tRNA from 1 species